UGGGGAAUAUUGGACAAUGGGCGCAAGCCUGAUCCAGCCAUGCCGCGUGAGUGAUGAAGGCCCUAGGGUUGUAAAGCUCUUUCACCGGUGAAGAUAAUGACGGUAACCGGAGAAGAAGCCCCGGCUAACUUCGUGCCAGCAGCCGCGGUAAUACGAAGGGGGCUAGCGUUGUUCGGAUUUACUGGGCGUAAAGCGCACGUAGGCGGACUUUUAAGUCAGGGGUGAAAUCCCGGGGCUCAACCCCGGAACUGCCUUUGAUAAUGGAAGUCUUGAGUAUGGUAGAGGUGAGUGGAAUUACGGGUGUAGAGGUGAAAUUCGUAGAUAUUCGGAGGAACACCAGUGGCGAAGGCGGCUCACUGGACCAUUACUGACGCUGAGGUGCGAAAGCGUGGGGAGCAAACAGG
rnacentral:rRNA from 1 species